UACAGAGGGGGCAAGCGUUGUUCGGAAUUACUGGGCGUAAAGGGCGCGUAGGCGGCCUGUUAAGUCGAACGUGAAAUCCCUGGGCUCAACCCAGGAACUGCGUCCGAUACUGGCAGGCUUGAAUUCGGGAGAGGGAUGCGGAAUUCCAGGUGUAGCGGUGAAAUGCGUAGAUAUCUGGAGGAACACCGGUGGCGAAGGCGGCAUCCUGGACCGAGAUUGACGCUGAGGCGCGAAAGCGUGGGGAGCAAACAGG
rnacentral:rRNA from 1 species